AAGAAGAAGACGUCGUUCUGAAGAACGUUUGAUCACGGCUGUAGUCCCGAGUACUUUCACGGCAGGUUUCUUCGGUCUAGGCCGCGAGCUCGGAGCCAAAGUGGGAAUCGAAGCCGCUACCUCCCGGCGGUCUUGUGGCGCAGGUUGGGGCGGCACGGGAUUUACCUGGCGCAAGGACCUUCGCAACGGAGGCGCCUUGGAAGCUGGAACGCUCUGUUGGCGUGAGGCAACCCCACCGAAAUGGGAGCUUGGAUUCAUCUACGGGGGCGUCCGCCAUUGGGGACCUCGUAGAUCAGCGAGAAGCACCACCGGCCGAGCCUGCGUCAAAUGCAACCAAGAAGGGCACAUGAGCAGGGACUGUCCCGCUGCUGCCUCGGGAGGACGACGCGGCUGCCUCAAGUGUGGUGAGGAAGGCCACAUGAACAGAAGUUGAUCUGCAGACAUUUCGGCGGGACACACCCAGAUGUGGGCCGCUGCCCUUCGCGUGUGGUCAUAUUAGGAUUUUUGGGUGUAUUUUGUGAUAUAUAUAAUAGCUGAUAUAAUUAGUUGUAAAUUUUUACUUUUUUGAUCAUGAUGUUGAUAAAUAUAUUCUUAUAUCUUCCA